rnacentral:lncRNA from 10 species
AUUCACAUCUCAGCAAGAACCCCUCAACUAUUCACCAGCAGGAAAUAGAGCAAGGAAACCAAAGCAAAAAUAGACAUCACUGAAAGGCUUCUGCACAGCAAUGAGCACAAUCAACAGAAUGAAAAGACACCUACAUAUUUGGAUAAGAUACUCGAAAACCAUACAUCUCAUAAUAUCAGCUAUUUUAAUGUCCAAAAUAUAUAAGAAACUUCUACAACUCAAUAACAAAAAUAACAACCUGAUUAAAAAUGGGCAAAGGACUUGAAUAGAUAUUUCUCCAAAGAAGGCAUACAAAUGGGCAACAAAUAU